ACGGGUGAGGAAUACAUCGGAAUCUACUUUUUCGUGGGGGAUAACGUAGGGAAACUUACGCUAAUACCGCAUACGACCUACGGGUGAAAGCAGGGGAUCUUCGGGCCUUGCGCGAUUGAAUGAGCCGAUGUCGGAUUAGCUAGUUGGCGGGGUAAAGGCCCACCAAGGCGACGAUCCGUAGCUGGUCUGAGAGGAUGAUCAGCCACACUGGAACUGAGACACGGUCCAGACUCCUACGGGAGGCAGCAGUGGGGAAUAUUGGACAAUGGGCGCAAGCCUGAUCCAGCCAUACCGCGUGGGUGAAGAAGGCCUUCGGGUUGUAAAGCCCUUUUGUUGGGAAAGAAAUCCAGCCGGCUAAUACCUGGUUGGGAUGACGGUACCCAAAGAAUAAGCACCGGCUAACUUCGUGCCAGCAGCCGCGGUAAUACGAAGGGUGCAAGCGUUACUCGGAAUUACUGGGCGUAAAGCGUGCGUAGGUGGUUGUUUAAGUCUGUUGUGAAAGCCCUGGGCUCAACCUGGGAACUGCAGUGGAAACUGGACAACUAGAGUGUGGUAGAGGGUAGCGGAAUUC
rnacentral:rRNA from 1 species